rnacentral:piRNA from 1 species
UUAAAUUGAUUUCAGUACUUG